GAUGAACGCUAGCGGCAGGCUUAACACAUGCAAGUCGAGGGGUAGGAGAAGCUUGCUUUUCUGAGACCGGCGCACGGGUGCGUAACGCGUAUGCAAUCUACCUUUCACAGAGGGAUAGCCCAGAGAAAUUUGGAUUAAUACCUCAUAGUAUAAUUGAGUGGCAUCACUUAAUUAUUAAAGAUUUAUCGGUGAAAGAUGAGCAUGCGUCCCAUUAGCUAGUUGGUAUGGUAACGGCAUACCAAGGCAACGAUGGGUAGGGGUCCUGCGAGGGAGAUCCCCCACACUGGUACUGAGACACGGACCAGACUCCUACGGGAGGCAGCAGUGAGGAAUAUUGGACAAUGGGCGCAAGCCUGAUCCAGCCAUGCCGCGUGCAGGAUGACGGUCCUAUGGAUUGUAAACUGCUUUUAUACAGGAAGAAACACCUCUACGUGUAGAGACUUGACGGUACUGUAAGAAUAAGGAUCGGCUAACUCCGUGCCAGCAGCCGCGGUAAUACGGAGGAUCCAAGCGUUAUCCGGAAUCAUUGGGUUUAAAGGGUCCGUAGGCGGUCAGGUAAGUCAGUGGUGAAAGCCCAUCGCUCAACGGUGGAACGGCCAUUGAUACUGUCUGACUUGAAUUAUUAGGAAGUAACUAGAAUAUGUAGUGUAGCGGUGAAAUGCUUAGAGAUUACAUGGAAUACCAAUUGCGAAGGCAGGUUACUACUAAUUGAUUGACGCUGAUGGAUGAAAGCGUGGGUAGCGAACAGGAUUAGAUACCCUGGUAGUCCACGCCGUAAACGAUGGAUACUAGCUGUUGGGAGCAAUCUCAGUGGCUAAGCGAAAGUGAUAAGUAUCCCACCUGGGGAGUACGAACGCAAGUUUGAAACUCAAAGGAAUUGACGGGGGCCCGCACAAGCGGUGGAGCAUGUGGUUUAAUUCGAUGAUACGCGAGGAACCUUACCAAGGCUUAAAUGUAGAUUGACCGGUUUGGAAACAGACU
rnacentral:rRNA from 1 species